GACGUAGGUGGCGAACGUUAUCCGGAAUCAUUGGGCGUAAAGGGUGCGUAGAUGGCAUAAUAAGUUAUUUGUGGGAAAUCGAGGCUCAACCUCGUGGAAGCUAGUAAUACUGUUUUGCUUGAGUGCAGAAGAGGUUAACGGAACUCCAUGUGGAGCGGUAAAAUGCGUAGAUAUAUGGAAGAACAUCAAUAACGGCGAAGGCAGUUAACUAGGCUGUUACUGACAUUGAGGCACGAAAGCGUGGGGAGCAAAACGG
rnacentral:rRNA from 1 species